rnacentral:lncRNA from 1 species
AGUCAGGUACAGGUAUAAAGGUGACUUAGCGUCAGUCCCUCAGCUAGUCUAUUUAGUACAGGUAUAAGGGGACUUAGUGUCGGUCCCUCAGGCUAGUCUAUUUAGGUACAGGUAUAAAGGUGACUUAUCGUCGGUUCCUCAGGCUACUCUAUUUAGGUACAGGUAUAAAGGUGACUUAGUGUCGGUCCCCCAGGCUAGUCUAGUCAGGUACAGGUAUAAAGGUGAAUUAGCGUCAGUUCCUCAGGCUAGUCUAUUUAGGUCAGGUAAAAGGUGACUUAGCGUCGGUUCCUCAGCUGUUAGUCAGGUACAGGUAUAAAGGUGACUUAGCGUCGGUUCUCAGGCUAGUCUAUUUAGGUACAGGUAUAAAGGUGACUUAGCG